rnacentral:rRNA from 1 species
GACGAACGCUGGCGGCGUGCUUAACACAUGCAAGUCGAACGGAAAGGCCCUGCUUUUGUGGGGUGCUCGAGUGGCGAACGGGUGAGUAACACGUGAGUAACCUGCCCUUGACUUUGGGAUAACUUCAGGAAACUGGGGCUAAUACCGGAUAGGAGCUCCUGCUGCAUGGUGGGGGUUGGAAAGUUUCGGCGGUUGGGGAUGGACUCGCGGCUUAUCAGCUUGUUGGUGAGGUAGUGGCUUACCAAGGCUUUGACGGGUAGCCGGCCUGAGAGGGUGACCGGCCACAUUGGGACUGAGAUACGGCCCAGACUCCUACGGGAGGCAGCAGUGGGGAAUAUUGCACAAUGGGCGGAAGCCUGAUGCAGCAACGCCGCGUGCGGGAUGACGGCCUUCGGGUUGUAAACCGCCUUCGCCUGUGACGAAGCGUGAGUGACGGUAAUGGGUAAAGAAGCACCGGCUAACUACGUG